rnacentral:rRNA from 1 species
AGAGCAACAGGGAUUGCCCUAGUAACGGCGAGUGAAGCGGCAACAGCUCAAAUUUGAAAUCUGGCCCUCGUGGUCCGAGUUGUAAUUUGCAGAGGAUGCUUUUGUGCGGUGCCUUCCGAGUUCCCUGGAACGGGACGCCAGAGAGGGUGAGAGCCCCGUACGGUUGGACACCUACCCUAUAUAUAGCUCCUUCGACGAGUCGAGUAGUUUGGGAAUGCUGCUCUAAAUGGGAGGUAAAUUUCUUCUAAAGCUAAAUACCGGCCAGAGACCGAUAGCGCACAAGUAGAGUGAUCGAAAGAUGAAAAGCACUUUGAAAAGAGGGUUAAAUAGUACGUGAAAUUGUUGAAAGGGAAGCGUUUGCGACCAGACCUUUUCUAGGCGGAUCAUCCGGUGUUCUCACCGGUGCACUUCGUCUGGUUUAGGCCAGCAUCGGUUUUCUUAGGGGGAUAAAGGCUUAGGGAACGUAGCUCUUUAGGGAGUGUUAUAGCCCUUUGCGUAAUACCUCUCGGGGGACCGAGGACCGCGCUCUGCAAGGAUGCUGGCGUAAUGGUCGUCAACGACCCGUCUUGAAACACGGACCAAGGAGUCGAACAUUUGUGCGAGUGUUUGGGUAUUAAACCCUCACGCGUAAUGAAAGUGAACGGAGGUGAGAGCCCUUACGGGUGCAUCAUCGACCGAUCCUGAUGUCUUCGGAUGGAUUUGAGUAAGAGCAUAACUGUUCGGACCCGAAAGAUGGUGAACUAUGCGUGGAUAGGGUGAAGCCAGAGGAAACUCUGGUGGAGGCUCGCAGCGGUUCUGACGUGCAAAUCGAUCGUCAAAUCUGCGCAUGGGGGCGAAAGACUUAUCGAACCAUUAAAACCAGCGGUAAAUAAUUUUACUAGGUGGUUAAGAGGCCCCUCGACAGAGGGAGCCUA